AUUGAACGCUGGCGGCAGGCCUAACACAUGCAAGUCGAGCGAGCGGCGGACGGGUGAGUAAUGUCUGGGAAUCUGCCCGCUGGAGGGGGAUAACUACUGGAAACGGUAGCUAAUACCGCAUACCAUCAGAUGUGCCAAUAUGGGAUUAGCUAGUAGGUGGGGUAAUGGCUCACCUAGGCGACGAUCCCUAGCUGGUCUGAGAGGCUGACCAGCAACACUGGAACUGAGACACGGUCCAGACUCCGACGGGAGGCAGCAGUGGGGAAUAUUGCACAAUGGGCGCAAGCCUGAUGCAGCCCUGCCGCGUGUGUGAAGAAGGCCUUCGGGUUGUAAAGCACUUUCAGCGAGGAGGCGUUACUCGCAGAAGAAGCACCGGCUAACUCCGUGCCAGCAGCCGCGGUAAUUC
rnacentral:rRNA from 1 species